GAUGAAGAACGUAGCGAAAUGCGAUAAGUAAUGUGAAUUGCAGAAUUCAGUGAAUCAUCGAAUCUUUGAACGCACAUUGCGCCCCCUGGUAUUCCGGGGGGCAUGCCUGUUCGAGCGUCAUUUCACCACUCAAGCCUCGCUUGGUAUUGGGCAACGCGGUCCGCCGCGUGCCUCAAAUCGACCGGCUGGGUCUUCUGUCCCCUAAGCGUUGUGGAAACUUUCGCUAAAGGGUGUUCGGGAGGCUACGCCGUAAAACAACCCCAUUUCUAAGGUUGACCUCGGAUCAGGUAGGGAUACCCGCUGAACUUAAGCAUAUCAAUAAGGGAGGA
rnacentral:misc_RNA from 1 species